AGAGAUGCACUGGGCUUAAAGCGUGCGCAGGCGGUUUUGUAAGACAGAGGUGAAAUCCCCGGGCUCAACCUGGGAACUCCCUUUGUGACUGCAAGGCUGGAGUGCGGCAGAGGGGGAUGGAAUUCCGCGUGUAGCAGUGAAAUGCGUAGAUAUGCGGAGGAACACCGAUGGCGAAUGCAAUCCCCUGGGCCUGCACUGACGCUCAUGCACGAAAGCGUGGGAGCAAACA
rnacentral:rRNA from 1 species